AACGAACGCUGGCGGCAUGCCUAACACAUGCAAGUCGAACGAUGCCUUCGGGCCUAGUGGCGCACGGGUGCGUAACGCGUGGGAAUCUGCCCUUAGCUUCGGAAUAACAGUUAGAAAUGGCUGCUAAUACCGGAUGAUGUCCCCCUACGAGAUCUUGGUGGCCAAAGAUUUAUCGGCCGGGGAUGAGCCCGCGUAGGAUUAGGUAGUUGGUGGGGUAAAGGCCUACCAAGCCGACGAUCCUUAGCUGGUCUGAGAGGAUGAUCAGCCACACUGGGACUGAGACACGGCCCAGACUCCUACGGGAGGCAGCAGUGGGGAAUAUUGGACAAUGGGGGGAACCCUGAUCCAGCAAUGCCGCGUGAGUGAUGAAGGCCUUAGGGUUGUAAAGCUCUUUUACCCGGGAUGAUAAUGACAGUACCUGGAGAAUAAGCUCCGGCUAACUCCGUG
rnacentral:rRNA from 1 species